AAUUAAAAUGGUUUGAGUCAUAUUUAACAAAUAGAGAACAGCAAUGUAAUGUUAAUGGAGAAUUAUCUAGUAAUAAAAUUAUCACCUGUGGAGUGCCCCAGGGAUCUAUACUGGGACCAUUGCUGUUCCUAUUAUAUAUUAAUGAUUUGCCCGAGUGUUUGAAAUCAACUAAUCCAUGCAUGUACGCGGAUGAUACUCAAAUCUUUUCAUCUUCCUACGAUGCAAACGAACUUGUUGUAAAUUUAAAUUCAGAUCUUGCCCAUGUCUGUAACUGGCUUAAAGAAAAUAGGCUGCAGAUGCAUCCAUCAAAAUGUAAAAUGAUGUUUAUUGGCUCCCCAUAUAAUCUUAAUAAUAUAAUGUGUGAGGAACCCGUUGUGGCUAAUGCAAAACCCAUAUCACGAAUUGCUACACAAAUGUGCCUAGGAGUAAAACUAGAUGAAACCCUUAAUUGGGA